AGCCCGGUGCCGUCCCCAUCGGGGGCGCCCGGGGGGUUUUGGGGCGCGUCCGCCGUAUUCUAAGGGUCCGCCGGUCGCCCCCUCGGGGGAGGCCGGUCCCGGAUCCCCAACCCAUCUGAACCCUUCUGCCCUGAAGCAGCUUCGCAAGGGGACACCCCGAGCGACAGUAACAGAGACAACUCUCAACAACGAAUAUCUUGGCUCUCGCAACGAUGAAGAACGCAGCGAAAUGCGAUACGUAGUGUGAAUUGCAGAAUUCCGUGAGUCAUCGAAUCUUUGAACGCACAUUGCCGGUCGACUCUUCGGAGGAGACCACAUCUGCCUCAGCGUCGGGAUACCCCCUCACGCACAACCGCGCGUGGAUCUGGCCCCCCCGGCCCCCCUCGCAGGGGACCGGGCCGGCUGAAAUGCAGAGGCCCGUGCGCGGCCCACUUGUGGCCCCGACUAGGUAGGUAGCUCGCUACUGCUAGGCGGCGGCUCGGUGCCGCGGACUUUGGGCCGCAAAGGAUACUCCCAUUCAUUCGACUGGGGCGGGGAGAGGCUACCCGCUGAACUUAAGCAUAUCAUAG
rnacentral:rRNA from 1 species